CAGGUGGCUCCCUGAUUCGCAGCCCUAUUGUUCCCUGUAUGAGAGGAUACAAUUAAUCCCCUUACAGACUCUGAAGCGAGAACGCCGCUUUUCUACUGUUUAAACAUACAGGUGGCUCCCUGAUUCGCAGCCCUAUUGUUCCCUGUAUGAGAGGAUACAAUUAAUCCCCUUACAGACUCUGAAGCGAGAACGCCGCUUUUCUACUGUUUAAACAUACAGGUGGCUCCCUGAUUCGCAGCCCUAUUGUUCCCUGUAUGAGAGGAUACAAUUAAUCCCCUUACAGACUCUGAAGCGAGAACGCCGCUUUUCUACUGUUUAAACAUACAGGUGGCUCCCUGAUUCGCAGCCCUAUUGUUCCCUGUAUGAGAGGAUACAAUUAAUCCCCUUACAGACUCUGAAGCGAGAACGCCGCUUUUCUACUGUUUAAACAUACAGGUGGCUCCCUGAUUCGCAGCCCUAUUGUUCCCUGUAUGAGAGGAUACAAUUAAUCCCCUUACAGACUCUGAAGCGAGAACGCCGCUUUUCUACUGUUUAAACAUACAGGUGGCUCCCUGAUUCGCAGCCCUAUUGUUCCCUGUAUGAGAGGAUACAAUUAAUCCCCUUACAGACUCUGAAGCGAGAACGCCGCUUUUCUACUGUUUAAACAUACAGGUUGUUAAAUAAUAGUACCGUUUGCCUUCAGUAGCUCUCUGCCUUUUAGGAUCCAAGGUUAUACUU